UACGUAGGGUGCAAGCGUUGUCCGGAAUUAUUGGGCGUAAAGAGCUCGUAGGCGGUUUGUCGCGUCUGCUGUGAAAACUCGGGGCUUAACUCCGGGCCUGCAGUGGGUACGGGCAGACUAGAGUGCGGUAGGGGAGACUGGAAUUCCUGGUGUAGCGGUGAAAUGCGCAGAUAUCAGGAGGAACACCGGUGGCGAAGGCGGGUCUCUGGGCCGUAACUGACGCUGAGGAGCGAAAGCGUGGGGAGCGAACUGG
rnacentral:rRNA from 1 species